rnacentral:ncRNA from 1 species
GAGCGAUCUCAUAUCCUUGCCGUUUAAAGCAACGGCUAAAGAAAAAAUCUGACUUAUAACGGUGGACUCCAUACGAUGAAUUGAUAGAAUUAUUGUAUGGACAAUACCGUGGGAAGUUUGACUCAAGAACAACGUUCAUUAGUUAUUGGAACGCUGUUAGGAGAUGGAUAUUUACGAAUUAUUCCAAAAAGGCGCGAUGCUCUUUUGGAAAUCAAUCAUUCUUUUACUCAAAAAGAAUAUGUUGAUUGGAAAUACAAAGUGCUGAAAAGUAUUUCUGCUUCGCCUCCUAAAGCACGAAAAGGGAAUGGGACAAGAAUUGCAUAUCGAUUUUACUCAAAACAACUGUGCGAGCUUACAAUGCUUUACAGAUUGUUUUAUAGGAAUAAUCGAAAAAUAAUUCCUAAAAGUCUUAUUCUUGAUCCAAUGAAUUUAGCAGUGUGGUUCAUGGAUGACGGAAGUCGGUGCAGAACCGAUGACAUCUACCUGAAUACGCAACAAUUUAGUAUUGAAGAUCAGAAACGGUUAGUGAAAGCUUUACGAAAGCUCGAUCUAGCAGCAACCUUAAAUAAAGAUAAGCAAUAUUAUCGGUUACGUUUCUUAAAAUCUUCUUUACCACAAUUGAGAACAUUGCUUAAGGAUUGCAUCAUUCCUUCAAUGAAAUAUAAGAUUGAGUUAUAACCCCGUAGAGACUUGUUCGAUGCAUGUUGAGUGUAAAGAACAGAGUCGGAAGUUAAUUCCGGCUAAGACGUCAGCUCCUUUCAGAGAAAGGAUGAAGAUAUAGUCCGAUCCUUCUGGUAACAGAAGAAAAAUAACGACAGCGAUGUCGGCUCGCCCUAGCGCGGGACUGGAGAAGGCCCCAAGCGUGUGGCUGUUCGCCACUUAAAAGGGCACGUGAGCUGGGUUCAAACCGUCAAGGAACGGAAUUAAGAAUCAUGAAUUAUGAAUUAAGAAUGAUUCGGUUUUUUGAUGGUUUGAAUCCAAGGUUUACGACAUCAAUCAUGGCGUGCAUGCGGAGUGAUCCGUAUGUACAAUAACUAACUUAUAUCGGUGAAGUCCUGACAGUUUUACGAUAACCUGUCGUAUGUUAGGAUAAUACCGAGGGAAGUUAUCAUGCGAAGUAGAAUACAACAAUCAUAUCUUGCAGGAUUUCUUGAUGCUGAUGGAAGCAUCUAUGUUCAGGCAAAACCAAAUCGAACGUAUCGAUAUGGAUUUCAAAUUGCGCCGUACAUAGUAUUGUUUCAGUCUGCGAAAGAUCGAACCAAUUUUGAGAAUGUCUGCGCCUUAAUAGGUACUGGUUACCUACGAAAGCGCAAAGACGGAAUUCUCGAGUAUAUCAUUGGGAGAUCUUUUGCAAUCAAGGAGUUUAUAAAAGACGUGUACCCAUUUCUAAUUCUUAAAAAGAGACAAGCAGAAUUACUGCUUCGAAUUUUCAAAGAGAAAGAAAGGGUAAAGUCAAAACAAGAUUUUGAGAAAUUGUUGAUUUUAGUAGAUCGUUUUCGAGAAUUAAAUUAUUCGAAAAAACGAAAGCAUCGAUAGCACCCGUAGAGACUGAAUGUUAGUCCCCAGCCCUUAUGAGUAUUACUCAAAAGAGCUGGAUGAAGAUACAGUCCAAUGCACAUAGUAAUAUGUGGAAACAUGCGUGAGACAGGUUGGUCCAUAUCUGGCGUGGGCGUUGAUACUUGAGAGGAGUUGUCCCUAGUACGAGAGGACCGGGAUGAACAAACCUCUGGUCUACGAGCUGUUCUGCCAAGGGCAAUGCUCGGUAGCUAUGUUUGGUUCUGAUAAGCACUGAAAGCAUAUAAGUGCGAAGCAGGCCUCAAGAUUAGGUAUCAUAGAUCCGCAGUAGAUGACUGCGUUGAUAGGGCUCAGGUGUACGUGCUGUGAGGCACUUAGCCGAGAGCUACUAAUAGAUCAUGAGGUCAUUCAU